rnacentral:rRNA from 1 species
CCUACGGGAGGCAGCAGUGAGGAAUAUUGGUCAAUGGCCGCAAGGCUGAACCAGCCAAGCCGCGUGAAGGAUGACGGUGCUAUGCAUUGUAAACUGCUUUUAUGAAGGGACAAAAUCAGUCACGAGUGCCUUAUUGCAGGUACCUCAUGAAUAAGGAUCGGCUAAUUCCGUGCCAGCAGCCGCGGUAACACGGAAGGUCCGGGCGUUAUCCGGAUUUAUUGGGUUUAAAGGGGGCGCAGGCCGGCCGUUAAGCGUGCCGGGAAAUGCCGGGGCUCAACCCUGGCAGUGCAGUGGGAACUGGGUGGCUUGAGAGGGCGAGAGGUAGGCGGAAUGCGUGGUGUAGCGGUGAAAUGCUGAGAUAUCGCGAAGAACUCCGAUUGCGAAGGCAGCCUACCGGAGCGUUACUGACGCUGAGGCUCGAAGGUGUGGGUAUCGAACAGGAUUAGAUACCCGGGUAGUC